rnacentral:misc_RNA from 1 species
CAGACGAGAAGAAAAGCAGUCGCCGUCAUUGUAUUGUCGACGCCUGCGCACGCGCGGUUGGUGUGCACCCAAGCCACCGAGUGUGCCCCCUUAGAAAAAAAAACAAAUCGGUUGACUGCGUUCGUCCCGUCUUUUUUUUUUCUUGUCCCUGUACGCCUUCAUCCUCACCACCGCCAGCUCGACAGUCACGGAAGAGCAACAGCAGCAAAGAAAAAAGCAAAGAGAGGUAAACGGUGCUCGAGGGAGAGUGAGUAUCACCACUCUCUCUGCACCUCUGUUUCAACCGUUACUGCAUCCGCUCCUCUCCGCUAUCUGUUGCCCACCCCCUUUUCCGCUCUUUCUUUUGGCAAGCUUCACAUCGCCUCAACAGCGCUACUUCCCGUUUGCGCCUACACCUCUCUCCCCCUUCGGCGCUCAGCAUCCUUUAUCAUCUUCAUAUCCCGCAAGCAAGUCGUGGCUGUGCGUGCUGACAUACUGCUGCCUUUUCUCUCUUCGCCGCCGUUCUAGCACAACAUACAUACAUACAUACAUAUAUAUAUAUGUAUAUGUAUAUAUAUAUGUAUGUAUGUAUGUCUAUUUGGACUCUCUGUGGUGACCAUCUAUUCUCUCUCUCUCCCGCUUUGCGCAUCGCUCAGCUGUCCCUUUUUUUUUUUUCGUUCAAGGCAAAACAAGAGUGUCUGAAGGUUGCGUGAGGAGCUUUCAAUAACAAGGUGGCGAGAGGGCAACACUCCCAGACUUUAUUUGGUCUCCUUGUCCUUGCGUCGCAUUGUUUUGGUGUUCUCCGCUUGCGCUGUGUUGGGCUCCCGCGCACACGCGCCCCCCCUCGCCUGCGCGUCCUUUGGUUUUUGUCGCCUCGUCGGCGCGCUUUUUUUCGCACCCUUGCCCGGUUUGGGGUGCUCCUCCUACCGCGCUUCAUCCAGUUUGCUCGCUAAACAGAAAGGUAGGGAGGUGGUUGGGGUGAGGGGGAGGGAGCAAGGAGCAAAGGAACGGCGACUUCGGCUGCACGCCUUCGCCUGCAUUCCUUGACAUCAUCGAGCAGCAGCAUUCACGGCACAGACUGCGCGCAUGCGUACGUGCCAAAAAGACUCACAAUCACUUCUCCAAGGCGACAUCUGAGCUUGGACUCCAACGCCAGCACUUACAACUUGAUCUCUCCUAGCGAAAACGGCACGAUGAGCUUUGGCGGCUUUCUUCUCUCGGCCGGACUCUACUUGGUCCUGGUCGCCGUAUUUGUGUCGCUCUUUCUGCACAUCAUGAGCUACCGCUACCGAAGUCAGCAGAACCGGCUUCUCUACUACCCACAGAUUCCUCCAGAGAGCCGAGAGGUCUGCGAAGACCCGGUGACGCUCGGCAUCCCCUAUGCAGAGCGUGUGUGUGUCACCACUGCUGAUAAAGUACGAUUGUCGGGCUACAUGCUAUGGCCAGCACCUGCACCGUCCACGGAAAAGAGCGGCAAUGCAAGCGUCCCCGAAUCGAUCGGGCGCGCAUCCUCGAAUGCGGCCACCGCAGAGGGAGGCACGCAUGCAGAGGUGGAUGCAUCAGGUGGCGCUACAGACAGUACCAGCGCCGGCAGCGUGGUGCCUGGCAGCAGCAGAAGCGUUACCAUGUCGAGCGGGAUGCCGAGUUUUGUGAUGCUGUACUUUCACGGAAACGCCGGUAACGUCGGCCAUCGCCUGCCUCUUGCUCAGGCCUUUGUGGCCCACCUGAAGUGCGCGGUCAUGAUGGUUGACUAUCGCGGUUUUGGCCUUAGCGAUGACUCGGAGCAGACACAGGAGACGUUGGAGCUGGAUGCGCAGGCCUGCUUCGACUAUCUGUGGCAGGAUCCUCGUGUGCCGCGUGAUCGUAUCAUCGUCAUGGGCACCAGCCUCGGUGGCGCUGUUUCGAUUCACUUGGCUGCCAACGAGCGGUACGCCCGCCGCAUAGCUGCUGUGAUUGUAGAAAACUCCUUCAGCUCCAUUAGCGACAUGGCCUCUGCACUGAGCCGGCCAAUCCUGACGAAGCUGGCGAGUCAAUGCCCAGGCCUUGCGGUGGGUAUCUUCGAGUACUACGUCAAGCCCCUGGCUCUGCGGAUAAGUUGGAACAGCGCGCAGAAGAUUACUAAGGUUGUGGUGCCGAUGCUCUUCCUCUCUGGUAUGCGUGAUGAGAUAGUGCCACCGGAGCAGAUGCGGACACUAUACAAGGCCGCGACGAAGUGUCUGCGCGAUGGCAACGGUAGCGACCUCACCGUCCCGCUGCGUCGCUUUCUCGAGUUUGAGGACGGGCGCCACAACAACCUGCCGCUGAUGCCCGGUUACAUGAGCGCCCUGCAGGACUUUGUCACGGACGUGCGCAACGCCGGAGCUGCUGCUGUCGUUUGAUAUUGGCAAGACAGCGUGAGAAGAGCAAAGGCAAAAGGGAAAGCAACAGCAUCAAAAGCAUGUGCGUAGGCGAUGAUACCGCGUGUGCUGGAAAAGCGGAAGCAACUAGGAUGGGGACGCAGAUUCUCUGACCCCUCAACCGCUCUUCCCACGCCCCGCCCCCUGUAUCUCGGAUGGUCUGCCGCUGUCUCGCUUCUACUCGCGUGCCGCGUCACGUUCUCCCUUCAAUCUCCGCGUCCCUUUUUGAUGAUCGUUGCGGAGGCUCUUUUGGGCGCAUAGGCGUACGUGUCAGGGGAGGAAGGAGGCGGAGGCAGUCAAGGAGGAAGUGAUAGAGGAAGAGUAAGGGCACAAAGGUUGUCGACACGCUGCAUGGCGCGGCCAUGCGCCACGCGAGAGGUCUGGGGCCGGUAUCUGCUUUUUCAGUUUUUUUUUCUCGGCGUGCCAUCAUCUGCGACUGGAUUGCUCACCCGCCUUGUCUUCUCUCUGGGUUUCUCUGACGCGAAGGGAGAGUGUGGAGGGCUGGAACACAGAGAGGUCGAGGUUGGUGUUUAGGCAAGCACCCGCACGUAGUCGCUGCGAAGUCACGCGCUGAUGCGCAUCAGUGAUGCCUUCAGCAGCCGACGCGAGGAGAGCUUCAUCUUGUACAGUCUAAACACCUCGCAAAACGAAGAGGGACAACACCGCGCUAGAGGGCUCUUCAAGGAUGUGUAGAGGCGACCUACCCUCUACAUCCACCACCCACACCGGGUCACAAGAGAGGGAGACGAAAAGGAAAAAAAUGAAGGAGAAGCUAACAUGCCGAGUAGAGCGAGAUCAAACAGAAGCAAGGCUUUCCUGCACCUGUGUCUGACUGUGCAUGUCUGCAUUUGUAUUUGCAUGUGGUUCACGUUGCUGCUACCGACAGACACAGCUCGAGCUGGUGUUUACGACUUGACUGCCUGUUUGCCUGGGUACGGGCAGCGUCUUUUCUGCUUUUCCAUUCCUGAUUUUGGCUCGUCACUCCUUUGCUUGUGUGUGUGCACCUCGUGUAUCUGCUGGUGCCCUUCGGUGACUGCAGGCGCUUCGCAAACGCCCUGUUUCUCCCCCUUUUUUCAUGCCUGUUCGCACACGCACCGGUAUGUUUUCCCGACUUUUCUUGACUGCGACGGUCCAAGAUGCUCUCCCUCGUUCUUUUCUUUCGUCGCUCAGUGUGUUUGUGUUAUGUUCUGCCGCCCUCUUGCCGAGUUUCUUGCGAGUGCGCAAUCGUGUGAACGGUAGACUUGCCUCGCCGGGCUUUUGUGCUUUGCUUGCUGAGCGGGAAAAUUUUUUUCUUUUGUUCUCUUUUCCGCGUAUGCUCCGGAAUCGAGGAAGAUGCGGAUGGCAGGGAAGGCAAGAUGAGUGGGGAGAGAGAGGUCGCUUGCAUGACGGAGCGGCUUCCAUGCGGGCUGCUCACUCCUCCUUCCCUACCUCCCUCUUGCCUUUGCCCGUCGCUUCCUUUAUUACCAUUCCUCGCUCUGCCUUCCCCUUCUGAGAGUCAUCUCGGUGACCUCUCACUUGCCGUCUGUAGCCGUUUUGCUCCGCCAAAUGGUAUCCUUCCAGCGUUCACCUUCGAUCUUGUCUCGAACAAGUGACCAACUUCG